rnacentral:rRNA from 1 species
UACGUAGGGGGCAAGCGUUGUCCGGAAUUAUUGGGCGUAAAGAGCGCGUAGGCGGUCCGGUAAGUCGGGUGUGAAAUCUCGGAGCUUAACUCCGAAACUGCAUUCGAUACUGCCGUGCUUGAGGACUGGAGAGGAGACUGGAAUUUACGGUGUAGCGGUGAAAUGCGUAGAUAUCGUAAGGAAGACCAGUGGCGAAGGCGGGUCUCUGGACAGUUCCUGACGCUGAGGCACGAAGGUCAGGGGAGCAAACGGG